rnacentral:rRNA from 1 species
AUUGAACGCUGGCGGAAUGCUUUACACAUGCAAGUCGAACGGCAGCACGGACUUCGGUCUGGUGGCGAGUGGCGAACGGGUGAGUAAUGUAUCGGAACGUGCCCAGUCGUGGGGGAUAACGUAGUGAAAAUUACGCUAAUACCGCAUACGAUCUAUGGAUGAAAGCGGGGGAUCGCAAGACCUCGCGCGAUUGGAGCGGCCGAUAUCAGAUUAGGUAGUUGGUGGGGUAAAGGCCCACCAAGCCAACGAUCUGUAGCUGGUCUGAGAGGACGACCAGCAACACUGGAACUGAGACACGGUCCAGACUCCUACGGGAGGCAGCAGUGGGGAAUUUUGGACAAUGGGCGAAAGCCUGAUCCAGCCAUUCCGCGUGCAGGAUGAAGGCCCUCGGAUUGUAAACUGCUUUUGUACAGAACGAAAAGGUUUCUACUAAUACUAGGAGCUCAUGACGGUACUGUAAGAAUAAGCACCAGCUAACUACGUGCCAGCCGCCGCCGUAA